AUAUCUAAUAACUAAAUUUCAUAAGUUCGGUUCUUAUAAAUAGAAUAAUGCACAUCCCAAAUCACAACCAAUUCAUGGCUCACAAUUGUGCCACAUGCUAGUUGGCCAAUGGACCAUCUUCUUUAAGGACUCGUUCCAACUCCAUUUACAACCACAAUUUGUUUUGAGCUCAUAUGUAUUGCCUCUUGAACCACACUGCCCCUGAUUUCUCGUAAGGAAUGUUCAAUGUCUAUCCUACCCUAGCAAAAGUACCUUACAAGGUCCCCAGCCAAUGUUCCUAAGUACCAAGACUUGUGCUUUCGCAGACUUGUGAUAGGUUCAGCCACCACCAAAUCUCAGCCUAAGCCAGCCCAAUUAACUACUGAACCUAGGCUGGUGAGCCCACCAACUUUAGACUCAC
rnacentral:lncRNA from 1 species